UUCGGGCAAGCUGGGAGGCAGAG
rnacentral:miRNA from 1 species